CCCAAGCCUUCGAUGAGAUCGCAACGCCCAACGUUACUUUGAUUUCGGCCUGGUGAGACCCUGAGAAGAGGUCCAGCUAACUCAUGCCUGGCUCCUGACCCAUGGAAAUUAUCAGAUAAUACAAUUUUGUUGUUUUAAGCCAAAAAAUGUGUGGUAAUUUGCAGCAAUAGAAAACUAAUACACAUUAGGCUCAUGAAAACAGCUUCAAACUCAAUGAACAGGUCUCACUUUCCCUGUGUCUUCAUUUGUGUUUCCAAGAAUCACCUCCCAAAUAAUCUACCUGCGCUCAAUUCUUCGUCUCCAAGUUUGUUUUGAAGGAAAUCCAAACUCAUCCAUGUCAUUCUGAUUUCUGUUCUUAAACUUACUUCAGAGUGGACUCCAUUUUCUGCCUACAGAAGAUUUUCCUUCGGACGUAGUGGCCUAAGAUGCGAAUAAAAAGAUCAUGGCUCAACACUAAGAACAAUGAGUUCCCUGAAAAGUUACCAGAAAAUUAUUUGUCACAUCUCUGAGUGUGUGUGGGGGUGAAUAGUUUCAACCCUCAAUGCAUGGUUCAGGUAGAUAAAUAAAGUUUCUUACGAUCUUGACAUUGCAUCAUAUUUUAGCUUCCUUCAUUUGAUAACCUUUAGCAAUGUAAAUGUUUGACAUUCACAUUUUUACUUUGUUUUAAACAAAGUUUACCAUUAUUUGAGGUGCACUGUAUUACUGCAAAAUAUUUUUUUACCUCUUUAUCAUACUGCAUUUUCU
rnacentral:lncRNA from 1 species